rnacentral:rRNA from 1 species
CCCUUAGAUGUUCUGGGCCGCACGCGCGCUACACUGUUCGACGCAGCGAGUCUUAACCUUGACCGAAAGGUUUGGGUAAUCUUCAGCAAAGUCGAACGUGAUGGGGAUCGAUCAUUGCAAUUAUUGAUCGUGAACGAGGAAUUCCUAGUAAGUGCAAGUCAUCAGCUUGCGCUGAUUACGUCCCUGCCCUUUGUACACACCGCCCGUCGCUCCUACCGAUUGAAUGUUCCGAUGAAUACCAUGGACUGAGAGUAUGAAUGGGUUCGCCUAUUUCUGCUUCUCGGGAAGUGGAGUAAAUCUUAACAUUUAGAGGAAGGAGAAGUCGUAACA